rnacentral:lncRNA from 1 species
UGUAGAAGAAAUUCCAGAAGGAGAGCCUAUCCUAGCAGGUAUGUAUCUUGUUAACAAUUAUCCUGCUAUGGUUUUAUUUGAUUCCGGCGCAUUGCAUACCUUUAUAAGUAGAAAGUUUGUUACACAACAUCAACUAGAGGUUCAUACCUUAAAUGUCAAGUAUGCUAUUCAAGCUACGGGGGCCACACAGAAUACAAAUCAAGUAGCUCGCAAUGUGAUUUUAAACCUAGAAGGAAAUAAGGUGGGAGCUUAUCCUUUAAUUCUGGAAGAUCAAGGAAUAGAUCUUAUUUUGGGAGUAAAUUGGAUGAAAGAACAUGAAGUUCAAAUUAAUAUGGUUACUCGGGUCGUUAGCAUGAAAGAUGACCAAGGCCACUCUUUCGAGCUCCAAUUACCCGUUCAUCCUUGUUUGGACCAGAUGGUCAAAAAGACUAGAGCAGUGACUCUAGAAUCUAUUCCUGUAGUUAAUGAGUUUCUAGAUGUAUUUCCAGAAGAUUUGCCUGGGCUACCGCCUGAUAGAGCGGUAGAAUUCACUAUUGAGUUAGAACCAGGCACCGCUCCUAUUUCUAGAAGACCAUAUCGAAUGCCACCUAAAGAGCUAGCAGAAUUAAAAAUACAACUCCAAGAAUUGUUGGAUAAGGGUUUCGUCCGACCUAGUACUUCACCAUGGGGCUGCCCAGCUCUUUUUGUUAAAAAGAAAGAUGGCACAUUAAGGUUAUGUGUGGAUUACCGCCCUUUGAAUGCGGUAACCAUCAAUAAUAAGUAUCCGCUUCCACGGAUUGAUUUGUUGUUCGACCAGUUGUCUGGAGCUAAGGUCUUUUCAAAAAUUGACCUUCGGUCAGGGUACCACCAGAUUAACAUAAAACCCGAGGACAUACCAAAAACAGCCUUUUCAACCCGAUAUGGACUAUAUGAGUAUUUGGUUAUGUCUUUCGGACUGACAAAUGCCCCAGCGCAUUUUAUGUACCUCAUGAAUUCAGUAUUCAUGCCGGAGCUAGAUAAAUUUGUGGUCGUCUUUAUAGACGAUAUCCUUGUCUUUUCUAAAAAUGAGGAGGAACAUGCGCAACACUUGCGCAUUGUUCUAAAUAGACUCCGAGAACACCAGUUGUAUGCCAAGUUUAGUAAGUGUGAAUUCUGGUUAAAGAAAGUUCCAUUCCUUGGGCACAUACUGUCCAAAAAAGGAAUCGAAGUAGAUCCCGGAAAAGUCAAGGAUAUACUGGAUUGGAAGUCACCAACUUCUGUUCAUGAAGUAAGAAGUUUCUUGGGAAUGGCUGGCUAUUACUGUAGAUUCAUUCUCAAUUUCUCAAAGGUUUCCAAACCAAUCACAGAGUUAUUAAAGAAGGACAUAAAAUUUGAAUGGAAACCUGAGUGUGAGGAAUCAUUCCAAGUCUUGAAGAAAUUACUGACUACAGCCCCAGUGCUAGCUCAACCUGACAUAGAGAAACCUUUUGAUGUAUACUGCGAUGCCUCAGGAACAGGCAUCGGGUGUGUUCUGAUGCAAGAAGGCAGGGUUAUUGCUUAUGCUUCUCGUCAAUUGAAGCGUCAUGAAGAGCAUUACCCUACUCAUGAUUUAGAGCUUGCUGCCAUAGUGCAUGCACUAAAGAUAUGGCGACACUAUCUUUUGGGUAGUGAAUGUCGUAUCUUUACCGACCACAAAAGCUUGAAAUACAUCUUCACUCAGAUGGACUUGAAUAUGAGGCAAAGACGGUGGCUAGAACUGAUUAAAGACUAUAAACUAGAAAUUCAUUACCAUCCUGGUAAGGCUAAUGUGGUGGCUGAUGCCUUGAGCAGAAAGGCCCAAUGCCAUUGCACUACCGUCCAGUCUAACCUGAAGACCUUGUGUGAAGAAAUGGGAGAAUUACGUUUGGAAAUAGUAAAACAAGGCACACUUCAGAAUAUUAUGAUUCAAGAUACCCUAAAGGAAAGAAUCAUAACAGCCCAAAAAGAAGAUCCAUGGAUUAAGCUACUUUAUCAGCAAAACGCCGAGGGGAAGAUUCCCGAAUUUAAUCAAGAAGAAGAUGGAGGACUGUAUUUCAAGAACAGGAUAGUGGUUCCUAAAGAUGAGGACCUAAGGAAAUUAAUCUUAGAAGAAGCACAUCUAUCCAAGUUCUCCAUUCAUCCCGGAACAAAUAAAAUGUACCAAGAUUUAAAGCAAAGAUUUUGGUGGGCCAAAAUGAAACCUGAAAUUGCAAGAUAUGUAUCAGAAUGUGAUACUUGCCAAAGAGUUAAACCCAUAUUACAAAAGUCGGCAGGUUUGUUACAACCUUCAGAGAUCCCUGUCUGGAAAUGGGAAGAUAUUUCUAUGGAUUUCAUAGUAGGACUGCCUACUACUUCAAAAGGAUAUGAUUCCAUCUGGGUUAUUGUCGACCGCCUUACUAAGUCAGCUCACUUUAUUCCAGUCAAGACUACUUACUCUGUGUCAACAUAUGCCAAACUCUAUAUAGCCCGGAUUGUAUCCUUACACGGAGUGCCAAAGACCAUAAUCUCCGAUCGAGGUUCCCAGUUUGUUUCCAGAUUCUGGGAACGACUGCAAAAGGACAUGGGUACUACUCUCAUUAGAAGUUCUGCUUAUCAUCCUCAAACUGGAGGACAGACAGAAAGGGUCAAUCAAAUUUUAGAAGACAUGUUAAGAGCAUGUGUCCUUACCUUCUCUAAGCUAUGGGAUGAAUGUUUGCCCCUAGCCGAAUUCUCCUAUAAUAAUAGCUAUCAAGCUAGCAUUAAGAUGGCACCUUUCGAAGCCUUGUAUGGUCGAAGAUGCCGAACUCCUCUAAAUUGGUCAGGAGUAGGAGAAAGGACACAUCUGGGAUCGGACUUGGUUAUGGAAACCGAGGAGAAGGUCCAGAAGAUUCGCAAGCAUUUAGAAGUAGCCCAGUCCCGGCAAAAGAGUUAUUCGGACAAAAGAAGACGGUCCUUGGAAUUUUAUGCCGGAGAUUUUGUAUACUUAAAGGUAUCCCCAAUGAAAGGCGUACAGCGCUUUGGAGUCAAGGGUAAGUUAGCCCCGAGAUAUAUUGGUCCCUAUGAAAUUCUGGAACGAAAAGGUCCAGUGGCAUAUAAGCUGUCAUUGCCAGACCAACUUGCUUCUAUACAUGACGUAUUUCAUGUAUCCCAGCUUAAGAAGUGCUUAAGAGUUCCAGAAGAAAUUUUAGAAGAUCCAGAAAUUGAGCUCGAGCCAGACCUCACAUAUGAAGAGAGACCCAUUAAAAUUCUGGAUCAAAAGACACGAGAUACCCGAACCAGGAGUAUCACGUUUUAUAAAGUACAAUGGAAAAACCAUACUCCGGAUGAAGCUACUUGGGAAAAAGCUGAAGACCUAGAGUCUAACUAUCCGGAAUUAUUUGAAACCGUCAGGAACUAAGGAACAAAAGCCACCACCCCACUAUCCUUAUACAGAAAAAGAAAGAAUAAUUGACCUGACGCAGUUUCCUUUCCAUUCCAAAAACCAAGGAUUUAACCCCGGGAAUCUCGGGACGAGAUUCUGUUAAGGGGGAGAGGCUGUAAUAAUUGCCAUUUGAAGUAUUAAAGUAACUAUGAGAAAUCAGAAAGAAAUCCAAAAGAAAAAGAAAAGAAAUUGGCAAAAAGAUCAAAUUCGGUCAAAUUUAACCGAAAUUUGAAUUUCAAAUUUGAAAUUCAGAAAAAUUUGCCAAAAAUGUGGACUACAAAUGUAAGAAUGUUUAGAACUUAGGGAUCAAAAAAAAAAUUCAGGACUGAAAUUGGUGCUAAAUAGCUCAAAGGAAUUAAAGAAAGAAACAGAAACAGUGAAGUACUGUUCAUCGUCCGAAAAUAGGGUUCAGAGAAAACAGCUUCAGAGUCCAUUUUGGAAAUUGAUUUCUGGAAAAUUUUUCAAAUAAGUGCACUAGAACAGCUACACCAUAUUGAAGUAUGAAUCUUGGACUACAAUAUUCAUGUGUUGUUGGCCAGGAACAGUAAAGGGAAGGAAUUCAAACUUAAGCUCAAAGUCAGCACAAAAUCACAAGUUAACUGAAACUCUGAAUUUGACUAAGUCUGAAUAGCAGCAAGGCAUCAACUUGGAGCUCGAAUUCAGAGCAAUGUAGCUAAAAGAGGGUACUUGUUCAUGAGCAAAAUGGAACAUUGGGACAUUGUAGAAUAUAUUUGAGAAGAAAUUGGACUGUGGGGAGAAGGAUUGGACCACUAAAUCAAAUCACCAAGUGAGAUCAGUGACACUGUCGGUGACUGACGAAACUGAAUGACAGUUUCAGUUGAAGUUCACAAGAAACCGAGAAACAAAUCCAAAUUCAAUCCUAUUUGAUGUUUAUCUCGAGCCGAAGCCAAAAUAAAAGUUGAAGAGCUCGAGUUUAUCUGCCACUUUGGUUAAAGCAUCUGAGCACCGUUGGAUUGAGAAUUAGCCGCGGAGAAGCUCUGAAGAUCACGGGCGGUGACAGAGCGCCCGACGUGUCGCCGCCGCCGUCGUCGGUCGACCGCCAGGGCAACUAGCUAGGCCACCUCCUCACCACGCAAGCCUACGGGUAGGCCACGGUGUCGUCCAUGCGCGGGGUUAAACGCUUGAAUAGUUACUGCUCCCGCGCCGCCGUUUCACCGUCCCCCUUUUUACCGCUGCCCGCUCUUCUCUGUCAAAGCACCGUCGCCGAGCAAAAUUCCACCACCUCCCCGCAGCUCCCGUCGAUUCCUCUCGCCCACUCCUCCACAGACACCCUAGCUACACCCCAAGCCAGUCGUUGUCCCACAUCCAUGCCGGAGUAGCUGUGCUCGCCGCCGCUUUUGUCCGCCGCCGUCACGCCGCCCGCUCACGGUGAGAACCAUCUUGCGCUGCUUCUCUUCUGCCUUGAGUAGUUGUAGUCGAGUCCUUGGGGUCCUAGGGUGGUGUAGGGGUAGAUGUUUGAGUCAGUUGUGUCGAUGUCGUAAGAAGCUAUGGCCGGCCGAGGGAGUCGUCGCCUGUCGCCGUGGAGGGGAUGGCUCCGGCCAUCUCCCGGGGAGCUGUUGCCGCGCACGGGGUCGUGUAGGUAUAGGAGUGGUGUUGUGACCUAGUCCCGCCGCCGGGAGGGCGCCGGCCGGCGAGCCGCGCUGCCCCCUGUCACGGGUGUGUUUUGGCGGGAGGUAGGAGAAGGCGCUGGGUACUCGGGCCCGCGCGUCAGUGGAAGAAGAAGAGGGGGGGAAGGCGUAGCAGCAGGCAGGCCGGGCGCGCGGUCGGUGGUGGGCCGAUGCGUCGCGAGGGCCCAGUAACGCGCGCGGUUCGGCCGGCAAAAGAAAAGGGCCGGCGUGUCGUUAAGGCCCAGUGGAAGCCGGCCGGUGUCGCGGAGAAAAAGAAGAAAAAGAAAGUAGGCCAUUGGGCCGGAGCUGGGCCGCAGAAAAAGAAAGAAAAAGAAAAAUCGGCCCGCAGAGCCCGUCGGGAGGAAAGGAUAAGGCCGGCGGGUAGAAGGAAUAGGAAGAGUGGGGUCCGCGCCGUGGGGCCCAGUAUUCGUGAGAGAGGGUAGAGAAGGGUCGAGUAAGAAAAGUUUUCCGGGUGAUUUUCGGGAAAAAUUAGAUUUCCUUUAGCGAAGUAAUUCGUUUAAAUCCGUUUUACACCAUUUUAAUCACAGAAAUUUGUAGAAGUAUCCAAAAUUAGUGAAACCAAUUUUGUUAGGCUUGUUUUAUUUUCCUUUAUGCAUUAAAAGUUUUACACCCUAGGAAAAUAAUAAAAAUUUGGGUAUUUAUUUAAUGCCUUCCUUUUAAGGUAAUUAAAUAAAUACUUAAUAUUUAUAAAAUGUAUAAAAUAUGAAUAAUACUUUAUCAAUCACAAAUAAUUCUUAACCCAUAGAAAAUUAGAUUUUCAAGUUAGGAAAUAACUACCACUUUUUCUAAAGAUAAAAGAAAAAGCUAUAAGGAGGGUUAAGUAAGAAAAAUAAAAAUAUAGGUUAAUCUUUUUAGAUUUUUGUGUGUUGGCUUGCAACUUUAUCAUGAUAAGUCGUAUAGUCCUUGUUGGCUUGCAACUUUAUCAUGAAGAAAAGUUGUAUAGUCUGUAUUCAAAAAUUUUGCAUUCUAACCCCCUGCAUGUAUAUAUGCCGUAGAUCCCGAAGCACCAGAAGAAGAGUAUUGGGAAUUCUCAGAAGGACCUUCGGAAUCUGAAGAAGUGUUUGAGUUUGUUCCCUGUGAAGCAAAUCCGUCAGCUUCUACUAAUCUUUUUAACGAACAAGGCAAGCCCCGGUGCAUUUACACCUAUCUAUUUUGGAGUCGUUAUUUCAUGUGACUAGUUGUAGGUUAAUUGCUAUAUGUAUGCACUAAGUCUAGGAGUUGAUUGAAACCUAUUCUUGUGUUUGAUCAUGCCUUGAUUUAAGGACAUCUUUGCCACUUGUUCGAACCUUAGAAACUACCCAAGUCUAGAAUUGCUUACUUGCUUACGUGUUUGGUUUACCAACCUUAAGGAAAACUCUUAAGUCAUACAUGUUGCUUAUGAAAGAUAGCUUGGAUUUUGAAAGUGGAAAGAAGCUAGAGAUGUAGUUCUGUCUGCCAGAUUAAUUUGGUUAAGGCCCGAUUCAUGUCUUAACUGUUGAUCAAGUGAUAAGCCUCUGAUCGCUUACUGGGUAUGGGACCAGUAAAGCCCAGUAGAUUAGUAAAUCCUAUGAUCAGGAAUGCUUCGUACCCGCGCUUGACGUGCUGGAGAAUUGGCAGGGGUGUAGCCUGAAACUCACAUGGAGAUCAGGCCAGACGUGGGGUCCCAUGUGGGGGUGCAUCCCUAGGUCCGGGUAGUCGUAUUCCUAAUCAUUGACUUUGCUAAUCGAGAGGUUGUUAGUACGACCUGGACAGUCGUAUAAUGCUGGUGAUCAGGGUACUCUCCUGCAGGAUGUAAUUAGAUCCGGAUCGCCGCAAUUCUCGGUUAUGAAUGCACUUGAUCGCUGUUGAGCAUCGUAGUAUUAAUUCAUGUAAUAUAAAAUCUCCUGUUGUCAAGUAUUGUAUGAUUUAACAGCUAUGGUUGCUUUUACUUCUGUUAUCACUUAGAAUGGUUAGGUAAUAGCUUAACCUAAAUAAAAGACAAAACUAAGGCUUUACUCGUAGUAAGCUUUUCGGCAAAAUUUGUGUCAACCAAGCACACCCAAAGGCUGACAUGCAUUCCAAAGAAAAACUAUUAUAUUGGUUAGUCGGGUAAGACUUGCUGAGUACCCCGUACUCAGGGUUUUCCCCUUGUGGUUAUCUUUCAGAAGCUCCACAGGAGGCUGCAGAGGAGGAGACCCCGAAG